rnacentral:lncRNA from 1 species
AUGACAUUCUCCCAAUACUUUAGAACAAAGCAGGAAUCUUUGACUGAAUUAUCCAGGCCCAACGUGUACAUGCUGGAGAAGAGUAAGUUAAAACAGGCCUCUCUGAAAUCCAAAUGGGACCCACAUCUGUGCAAUCUGAUAGAUCCCCCUCUGAGUCCAUUAUUCCAGAUCAUCAUUGGAAAUAUACUUCAGUGUCCUUUUUACCUCUGGUAUGACCCUCCUCAUAAUGUGGAAUUUGGAUUUCAGAAGAUUUAAGUCCAGCCAUUGUCACAGAUACUUAUUAGCUGUGUAAUCCUGGGCAAAUCAUUUAAUUUGGAUAGGCUUUAGUUUCUUAAUCUGCAAAAAAAGGAGAUAAUAAUAACACCUACUUCAUAUUUGUUAGUAGAAUCAAAUGAAAUAAAAAGAAACCAAAUGUUUAUAUAUGAUAAUAU